GGAAAAGAAAACACCCUGACAGAACCACGUAAGCCGCCCGUCAUUUACUCAUCACCACACAGCCCCGGCUAGAUCACCCGUGACGUUCAUCUCCACCCUGCCUGCACACGUCUUCUUUAUCUCUCUUGUGCACUUUCAGGUGCUUUGGAUGGAUGACCUCAGAGCAUACCUCCAGCUCUCCAGGCUCCCUGCUCUCACUACAGAUCACAGUGUCAUCUGCAAAUAUUAUAGUCCACUCCUGCCUGACCUCGCCUGUCAACCUGUCCAACACCACCGCAAACAAGAAGGGACUCUGAGCCGACCCGUGGUGUAAUCCUAACCCCACUUUGAACUUACCGCACACCUCACAACUGACUCACUGUCCUCGAACAUGUCCUGCACCACACUCACAUACUUCUGCGCCACUCAUGACUUCCUCAUGCAGUACCACGGUUCCUCUCUUGACACCCUCUCAUACACUUUAUCUAGCUCUGCAAAGACACAGUCCAGCUCCUUCUGACCUUCUCCACAC